CUUUCCUGGAGCCUGGACAGCAAUUUUAGUUUCUCUCGACAAUGCAGGCAUUUGGAAUCUUCGUGCACAGAAUCUCGAUUCAUGGUAUCUAGGCCAAGAAGCCUAUAUAAGCGUCGUGAAUCCCGAGGUCGACCAAUCAGAGGCUCUGUUACCGGAAAAUUCUAUAUAUUGUGGCAUCCUAUCGUCGUUACAGAAGGAUCAGGCCCAGAGAGUUAAUUUCUCCGCACGACAUCGAUUUCUGAUUCCAGUAAAACAGUAUUCUUUAUGUUAAUCAUAACCUUAAUUGGACAUUCAUUCAGGUAA